rnacentral:rRNA from 1 species
UACGUAGGGAGCAAGCGUUGUCCGGAAUCAUUGGGCGUAAAGCGCGCGUAGGCGGCCCUGUAAGUCCGUUGUGAAAGUCAAAGGCUCAACCUUUGAAAGCCGAUGGAUACUGCAGGGCUAGAGUCCGGAAGAGGCGAGUGGAAUUCCUGGUGUAGCGGUGGAAUGCGUAGAUAUCUGGAGGAACACCGGUGGCGAAGGCGGCAUCCUGGACCAAUUCUGACGCUGAGGAGCGAAAGCCAGGGGAGCAAACGGG